CAUUAGAAUGAGAGCCGGACCAUGCUCGUGGGCGAAAGCCCAAACGUGCCAGUAAGCGCCCGUAAACCUCCACCCUUGUAUAUUAUUCUUUGUUGCUUUGGUGGGCCGCAAGCCUUCGGGCGAGCACCGGCCUCGGCUGGAGAGUGCCUGCCAGAGGACCCAACUCUGUAAUUUAGUGAUGUCUGAGUACUAUUAAAUAGUUAAAACUUUCAACAACGGAUCUCUUGGUUCUGGCAUCGAUGAAGAACGCAGCGAAAUGCGAUAAGUAAUGUGAAUUGCAGAAUUCAGUGAAUCAUCGAAUCUUUGAACGCACAUUGCGCCCUCUGGUAUUCCGGAGGGCAUGCCUGUUCGAGCGUCAUUAUAACCAAUCACGCAAGUGGUUUUGGGGCUUGCUUAUCUAGCAUCCCUUAAAAACAGUGGCGGUGCUAUAGGGCUCUCAGCGUAGUAAUUAUUCCGCUUUUGAAACCUAGACACACCUGUCAGAACCCCCAAUUUUUUUAAGGUUGACCUCGGAUCAGGUAGGGAUACCCGCUGAACUUAAGCAUUNUAAAANNCNGGAAGGAAA
rnacentral:rRNA from 1 species